GUGCGGCCCAACUCCUCCUGUCCCUGAUGCAGAAAUUGGGAGUCACGAAGCUGGCAGGCACAGCCAGGGCUGAGAGGCUGGCACAGGUGGCAGGGACGCUUGCUCAGGACUGUCACCAGGACACAAGGCAUUAUGGACAGGAGAUGGUGAAGAUGUUGCUGAGCCAUCAAAAAUUUAAAAUGCUUCUGGAACAAUCUCUCUCCAUGCGUGAUCUGGAAGAUAUUCUGACAAGAAUUAAGAAGAAAUUUCAGAGUUAAAAAAACCAAGCCAGACCGAGUCAGCCUCCUUUAGUUUCGCUGCCGAAGGAAAGCUUUUCAAAUACCUGUUAAUGGCAGGUGAUUAACUGAUUGUUUCCCUGAUGCUGGCUGCAUACCAAGAAGAUACCAAGAGAAACCCUCCAGGGUAAAGAGAUGAACAGUGACACCAGAGACAACAUGCAAAUGAGAAACGCAGUGCACCCUGGAUUGUUACAGUUUUACAGUUUUUAUAAGAAAAACCCCUAAAAUCACGAGCCAUAAGUGACUUAAAGUGACGUCUAAGGAUGGGAGCAUUGUCCCGUACCUGCUUAAACCUUUUUAUUUCUCACUCUAACUUGAAAAGAAACUGAUUAAAGAGACCCCCCGGGUUUCUAAACCAACAAACUAAGGACUCAACGACUCUCCCGUGAGGACAGAGUCCCCAGUUCUGCCUGCAGACCAGCGGACAAAACUGCAUCAUCCUCCUGCUUCGUGCCACGCCUGGGAGCAGCGGCGGCGAGGGCGCAACCCGUCGAUUUCUUCCCACCUGAGCUGAUUCUUCUUAAUAAAGGCAUUAAAAAGGAGAAAGAUCUCCUGCCCAUUUAUUUCAGCUUGGGGGACUCGUCCGGGAUAGCCACGCCUGAAGAGGACACCAGGACUGGGACGGCCGCCCACCCUGGACCUGCAGGACAGCUGGCUAUCAGGACCAGAGAAGAUCGGCUUGGGACA